AUUGAACGCUGGCGGCAGGCCUAACACAUGCAAGUCGAGCGGAUGAAGGGAGCUUGCUCCUGGAUUCAGCGGCGGACGGGUGAGUAAUGCCUAGGAAUCUGCCUGGUAGUGGGGGAUAACGUCCGGAAACGGGCGCUAAUACCGCAUACGUCCUGAGGGAGAAAGUGGGGGAUCUUCGGACCUCACGCUAUCAGAUGAGCCUAGGUCGGAUUAGCUAGUUGGUGGGGUAAAGGCCUACCAAGGCGACGAUCCGUAACUGGUCUGAGAGGAUGAUCAGUCACACUGGAACUGAGACACGGUCCAGACUCCUACGGGAGGCAGCAGUGGGGAAUAUUGGACAAUGGGCGAAAGCCUGAUCCAGCCAUGCCGCGUGUGUGAAGAAGGUCUUCGGAUUGUAAAGCACUUUAAGUUGGGAGGAAGGGCAUUAAGUUAAUACCUGGCUGUUUUGACGUUACCAACAGAAUAAGCACCGGCUAACUUCGUG
rnacentral:rRNA from 1 species